UACGGGGGGGGGCUAGCGUUGUUCGGAAUUACUGGGCGUAAAGGGCGCGUAGGCGGCCUACUAAGUCGGACGUGAAAUCCCUCGGCUCAACCGGGGAACUGCGUCCGAUACGGGCAGACUAGAGGUAUGCAGGGGAGAACGGAAUUCCUGGUGUAGCGGUGAAAUGCGCAGAUAUCAGGAGGAACACCAAUGGCGAAGGCAGCACUCUGGGACGUGACUGACGCUGAGACGCGAAAGCGUGGGGAGCAAACAGG
rnacentral:rRNA from 1 species